UACGAAGGGGGCUAGCGUUGCUCGGAAUUACUGGGCGUAAAGCGCCCGUAGGCGGCUUCUUAAGUCGGGGGUGAAAUCCUGGAGCUCAACUCCAGAACUGCCUUCGAUACUGGGAAGCUCGAGUCCGGGAGAGGUGAGUGGAACUGCGAGUGUAGAGGUGAAAUUCGUAGAUAUUCGCAAGAACACCAGUGGCGAAGGCGGCUCACUGGCCCGGUACUGACGCUGAGGUGCGAAAGCGUGGGGAGCAAACAGG
rnacentral:rRNA from 1 species